rnacentral:sRNA from 1 species
GACUUACAUACAGAAUUCUUAUUAUGUAUAAAUAUACAUGUAAAAAUAUGAGAUAGAUUUAACGACAAGUCUUAAAACUAUGUACAUACAUAAUUUGUUGAUGUUCAAUUUUUUUAGUUCUUUACGUUAUUCAUGUACUAAAUAUUUAUAUUGUUUGUAUUUUUCCUGUACUGUAAUCAUUGAGACCUAGUAUGACACAAUUGUUAUCAAUAUUUGUCAUUCAUUUUUUUAAAUAUAUUAUAAAACCAUUUUUUUUUUAGAAAAAAGUGUGACAUUAAAAUGACCGCUUAUUAUUUUUUUUCUAAUCGUGUGGACAAUAUGAAGUUGUUUUAAUAUCAAACUUACCUUGCAACUAUGUCAUACCCCAAGGAGAUUUCUUUUAAAAGUUCAUAAAUCAUCCACUUUCAAAUUUUGUUCUUUAAUGAUAAUUUAAGUAUCAAUAUAAAAAUAGUAAUGUAUUAUAAGUGUUAACAAUAAAAUGUCAUAUUCC